rnacentral:lncRNA from 1 species
AGAAAUAACACACAAACUAAAGAGAGGUUUUUUCUUUCUUUUUUAAGAACUUUCUCAGGGAGACCAAUUCCCAGAAUCAGUGUUGAAGAAGAUCUCAGAGGCCAUUUAGGGCUGGCUUGGAAGGAGAGUCAUAGAAUCUGAUGUCAUUCACAUAGAUACCAAUACCUAAUCAUCUUAUCAUCUAACUUUCAAGAAUGAGACAACUGACGGUAACUUUUCUCCAAGUGCUUGGGUGUGGCUAAAAGACAAAGAUGAACAUUGUACCUGUCCCCUAUCUGCCCUUCGGGGGAUUUUUUUUUUAAGACCAUCCCUGGAUGAAGCACGCACCCACUGAUGUCAACUAUAGGCCUAGGAGCCAUGGGUUUCUUCUAGGAAGACAAAGGGUGAACAGGAAGCUCUAUUGUGUCAUGCUCUGAGGGACUCUAUUACUUUGGAAACUGAGAAGGCGGGCCAGGAGUCAUGGGAAGCAUGGAAACUGUGUUGGGAUCCAUUUGCUCAGAUGGAAUACAUCAACUUCUGAAUUCAAUUUUGUUGGAAAUGCUGGCAUUGUCACUGCCAAGAAAACCCUUGUGUUGCUGCGCACUCACAUAAGAG